rnacentral:rRNA from 1 species
CAAUAGCAUAUAUUAACGUUGUUGCGGUUGAAAAGCUCGUAGUUGAACUUUUGGUAGGAGCGACCUGGCCUUGGGCGCAUGCCCUUGUUUGCCGUGUGUCGUAUCUGGCCAUCCUUUUCCGUUUCGGCGGGAAUCUUUUACUGUGAGUAAACUGGAGUGCUCAAAACAAGACGUUUGUUUGGUACAUUAAAGCAUGGAAUAAUAAGAUAGGACCUGGUUACUAUUUUGUUGGUUUGCAUAGCUAGGUAAUGAUUAACAGGGACAGUUGGGGGUAUUCGUAUUUAAUUGUCAGAGGUGAAAUUCUUGGAUUUAUGAAAGACGAACGACUGCGAAAGCAUUUACCAAGGAUGUUUUCAUUAA